rnacentral:lncRNA from 1 species
GCUCUAGCCUCCAGAGAUCUGCUCCCUAGACUUUCCCCACCUCUUUCCCCUGGGCCAAAGGAGAAGGAGUCAUGGCGGGAAGCACCAGAGGCUGAGAGGGUGGAUCUGACUCCUUUUGGAGACCCAGUAGGAAAGUCCUCCCUGUCAUCUGUUGUAGCCGGGGAGCAGGCGGCCACGUUCUGGGACCUAAGCUCAUUCAUUGCUCAGUUCCCCAGGUCCUGAAUCCAGCCUCACAUCCCACGCCACACAGGCUGUGGCACAAAAGGGACAAACACCCUCAAGACCUAGGCCAGAUAAUUAUCAAGCAAAUUCCCUUCAAUUUCCUGCCUUCACCCCCACCCCCACCCUCGGGCACUGCCUGCUGCGCGUUCCCUGAUUCGGCCCCGGCUGUGCAAUCAACGCCAGGUAACCUGCGGGGCCCUGUAAUUGCUCUGGAGUUGCCUGGGACUUUGCGAGGAAAACUUGCAGGACUUGUGAACGACAGCGGAAGCUGCAAAGUGUGGUGGAGAUCUCUGUCCUGCUGUUUAAGAAGUGGGCCUCCGAGGGUCUGAGCCUAGCCACCUAGAGGAGAGUGGUCUGGCCAUCAUAGAGUUCCUCAUGCCACAUCUCAUGAGCACUUACCUUCUCGUACAUAAAUAUCGGGCAGUGGAAUCGGAGCAUGUGUCCCCUGACUGGAAGCAGUGACAACCACGGCAGCAGGUUUAUUUUUAAAUAAAGAUUGGAAAGUUACAAGGCUC